UCAUGGCUCAGAUUGAACGCUGGCGGCAGGCCUAACACAUGCAAUUCGAACGGUAACAGGAAGCAGCUUGCUGCUUUGCUGACGAGUGGCGGACGGGUGAGUAAUGUCUGGGAAACUGCCCGAUGGAGGGGGAUAACUACUGGAAACGGUGGCUAAUACCGCAUAACGUCGCAAGACCAAAGAGGGGGACCUUCGGGCCUCUUGCCAUCAGAUGUGCCCAGAUGGGAUUAGCUUGUUGGUGAGGUAACGGCUCACCAAGGCGACGAUCCCUAGCUGGUCUGAGAGGAUGACCAGCCACACUGGAACUGAGACACGGUCCAGACUCCUACGGGAGGCAGCAGUGGGGAAUAUUGCACAAUGGGCGCAAGCCUGAUGCAGCCAUGCCGCGUGUAUGAAGAAGGCCUUCGGGUUGUAAAGUACUUUCAGCGGGGAGGAAGGUGUUGUGGUUAAUAAC
rnacentral:rRNA from 1 species